rnacentral:rRNA from 1 species
UAGAGUUUGAUCAUGGCUCAGGAUGAACGCUGACAGAAUGCUUAACACAUGCAAGUCUACUUGAAUUCACUUCGGUGAUAGUAAGGUGGCGGACGGGUGAGUAACACGUAAAGAACUUGCCUUACAGUCUGGGACAACUAUUGGAAACGAUAGCUAAUACCGGAUAUUAUGAUUUUCUCGCAUGGGAAGAUUAUGAAAGCUAUAUGCGCUGUAAGAGAGCUUUGCGUCCCAUUAGCUAGUUGGUGAGGUAACGGCUCACAAAGGCGACGAUGGGUAGCCGGCCUGAGAGGGUGAACGGCCACAAGGGGACUGAGACACGGCCCUUACUCCUACGGGAGGCAGCAGUGGGGAAUAUUGGACAAUGGACCAAAAGUCUGAUCCAGCAAUUCUGUGUGCACGAUGACGGUCUUCGGAUUGUAAAGUGCUUUCAGUUGGGAAGAAAGAAAUGACGGUACCAACAGAAGAAGCGACGGCUAAAUACGUGCCAGCAGCCGCGGUAAUACGUAUGUCGCAAGCGUUAUCCGGAUUUAUUGGGCGUAAAGCGCGUCUAGGUGGUUUGAUAAGUCUGAUGUGAAAAUGCGGGGCUCAACUCCGUAUUGCGUUGGAAACUGUCAAACUAGAGUAUCGGAGAGGUGGGCGGAACUACAAGUGUAGAGGUGAAAUUCGUAGAUAUUUGUAGGAAUGCCGAUAGAGAAGUCAGCUCACUGGACGAAUACUGACACUGAAGCGCGAAAGCAUGGGGAGCAAACAGGAUUAGAUACCCUGGUAGUCCAUGCCGUAAACGAUGAUUACUAAGCGUCGGGGGUCGAACCUCGGCACUCAAGCUAACGCGAU